rnacentral:rRNA from 1 species
AGGACGAACGCUGGCGGCGUGCUUAACACAUGCAAGUCAAGGGGACCCGCAAGGGUAACCGGCGAACGGGUGCGUAACACGUGAGCAACCUACCGAGAUCUGGGGGAUAGCCGGCCCAACGGCCGGGUAAUACCGCAUACGCUCUUUCCACGGCAUUGUGGAUUGAGGAAACCUCCGGGGGAUUUCGAGGGCUCGCGGCCUAUCAGCUAGUUGGCGGGGUCACGGCUCACCAAGGCGACGACGGGUAGC